GAGAUGAUCUCUAUUCGCGACACUCCUCUCCUCGCGUGGCUAGGGCACAUGACAACUCCCACCGCCGAUGCCUCUCUUCAUCCUUUCUUUUCCCCACCAGCCGGCGGCUCUUCCCUUACCUUUACUGCCACCGGCCGACCAUCCACAGCCCACCACUUCCUCUUCUUGAUUCCAGCGGCGACAGCAGCAGCUUUCUCAGGGAGUGGCAAGCUUUAACAACGAGUUCUGACCAACUCCACCUCAUCGGAGGGGUUCUCUGAUGUGACCUCCAUCUUUUGACAAACUUCUAAAGUUCCUCCACUUGGGGUUCAGGUGGCAGAGUAGAGAGAGGUCCGGCAGUCCAUCACAGUCCGAUCAACUUCCAUCCGAGGGGGCUCUUCGGUGGAAGAUCCGUUCACCAUCAUCGUGUUGAAGCGUGCAGCAUUCCGACAGUGAGCUACUGUCCACCGACUUCGGGGGUUCCGGAGUCGGGCCCUUGUGUGACGGCGAGGGAAAAAUCUUUCCUGGAAAAAGGGGUCCGGGCGCCCGGAACUGGUCUGAGCGCUCGAAAUGCAAAACUCUAUCUCGUCGCAAACUUGGAGCGCGCUGAUUGGCUGGGUCGAUGUCACGGUCCAAGCACCCGGAAGGAAUUCGGGUGCCCGGAAUUGCUUAUAUAAGCAGUCUUCCACCAAGAGCCAAACACAACUUCUUCUACGAUUGCUCUCUUGUGCGCUACUCCAAAGACGCUCCUGCGAGGCUGUGAAGCUCCUCCGACAACCUGUGAAUCAGUUUUAUUUUCCUUGUUGUCGGUAUUCUUUAUAAUUAUUGUACCAAAAUUGUGUAAUACUUUUACGAAUUAUUAGUGAUUGCCCAA